UGUGUAAUGUUAAAUAUGGUUUGGAAACUUCGUAAGGGUUGCUUUUGAAGUUCUGAGUUUUUGUUAAAGAAAAAUUUAAGUCUUAAAUUUGCUUAUGAUUGAUGUUAGAUAAAGUUUUAUUAGUUUUUUGAGCCAGUCAUAUUCGAAGCGAUGUUAUUGUAUCUUGAGAUUGUUCAGAUUGAUACUGAUUUUAAGAAGAUUCUUGGUCUAUUUUCUCUUUAACUACUAGACUUUGGUUGUGUUUGUGUUAAAUACGUAAACCUGGGUUUAAU
rnacentral:lncRNA from 1 species